GCACUAUCAGAGGAGAUACCAUGGUCAUGAAAAUGGUUUUCCCAGGGUGAGGCUCAUCCAUUGCACGGUGGGUGUGCUGACCCCUGCAAUUUCCCCAAACGUAGGAAACUCAGCUGCAUAAUUUGUGGUAGUGAGGGACAGUGUUCGUGCUUUCCGCU
ensembl:snRNA U1 U1 spliceosomal RNA